rnacentral:rRNA from 1 species
AACGAACGCUGGCGGCAUGCCUAACACAUGCAAGUCGAACGAAGCCUUCGGGCUUAGUGGCGCACGGGUGCGUAACGCGUGGGAAUCUGCCCUUGGGUUCGGAAUAACAGUUAGAAAUGACUGCUAAUACCGAAUGAUGUCUUCGGACCAAAGAUUUAUCGCCCAAGGAUGAGCCCGCGUCGGAUUAGCUAGUUGGUGAGGUAAAGGCUCACCAAGGCGACGAUCCGUAGCUGGUCUGAGAGGAUGAUCAGCCACACUGGGACUGAGACACGGCCCAGACUCCUACGGGAGGUAGCAGUGGGGAAUAUUGGACAAUGGGCGAAAGCCUGAUCCAGCAAUGCCGCGUGAGUGAUGAAGGCCUUAGGGUUGUAAAGCUCUUUUACCCGGGAUGAUAAUGACAGUACCGGGAGAAUAAGCCCCGGCUAACUCCGUGCCAGCAGCCGCGGUAAU